UACGUAGGGUGCGAGCGUUAAUCGGAAUUACUGGGCGUAAAGCGUGCGUAGGCGGUUCGUUAAGUCAGCUGUGAAAGCCCCGGGCUCAACCUGGGAUUGCGGUUGAAACUGGCGAACUAGAAUCUGGCAGAGGGGGGGUGGAAUUCCACGUGUAGCAGUGAAAUGCGUAGAGAUGUGGAGGAACACCGAUGGCGAAGGCAGCCCCCUGGGCUGAGAUUGACGCUCAGGCACGAAAGCGUGGGGAGCAAACAGG
rnacentral:rRNA from 1 species